GACGAACGCUGGCGGCGUGCUUAACACAUGCAAGUCGAACGGUAAGGCCCUUCGGGGUACACGAGUGGCGAACGGGUGAGUAACACGUGGGUGAUCUGCCCUGCACUUCGGGAUAAGCCUGGGAAACUGGGUCUAAUACCGGAUAGGACCACUGCCUGCAUGGGUGGUGGUGGAAAGCUUUUGCGGUGUGGGAUGGGCCCGCGGCCUAUCAGCUUGUUGGGGGGGUGAUGGCCUACCAAGGCGACGACGGGUAGCCGGCCUGAGAGGGUGAACGGCCACACUGGGACUGAGAUACGGCCCAGACUCCUACGGGAGGCAGCAGUGGGGAACAUUGCACAAUGGGCGCAAGCCUGAUGCAGCGACGCCGCGUGAGGGAUGACGGCCUUCGGGUUGUAAACCUCUUUCAGCACCGACGAAGCGCAAGUGACGGUAGGUGCAGAAGAAGGACCGGCCAACUACGUGCCAGCAGCCGCGGUAA
rnacentral:rRNA from 1 species